UACGUAGGGGGCAAGCGUUGUCCGGAAUCAUUGGGCGUAAAGCGCGUGUAGGCGGCUGAGUAAGUCUGCUCUGAAAGCCCGGGGCUCAACCCCGGGAGGCGGGUGGAUACUGCUCAGCUCGAGUCCGGAAGAGGAGUGUGAAAUUCCUGGUGUAGCGGUGAAAUGCGCAGAUAUCAGGAGGAACACCAAUGGCGAAGGCAGCACUCUGGGACGGUACUGACGCUGAGACGCGAAGGCGUGGGGAGCAAACAGG
rnacentral:rRNA from 1 species